rnacentral:ncRNA from 2 species
AAUCAUUCGUUUGUUACUGGUGCCCUGCAAAGGGAGAAUAGGGAACUGGGUGAGAAUCCCGGACGGACCCACCACUGUAAAGAGGAGACUUAUGCAUAGCCACUGGGAAACCGGGAAGGCGCAUAAAGUUGAUGAUUCUAAGUCAGGAGACCUGCCUGUAACUUAAAGUCAUG